GUGCCAGCCGCCGCGGUAAUACAGAGGGUGCGAGCGUUAAUCGGAAUUACUGGGCGUAAAGCGCACGUAGUCGGCUUGUCAAGUCGGGUGUGAAAUCCCCGGGCUCAACCUGGGAACUGCAUCCGAAACUGACUUGCUAGAGUAUGGGAGAGGGAGGCGGAAUUUCUGGUGUAGCAGUGAAAUGCGUAGAUAUCAGAAGGAACAUCAGUGGCGAAGGCGGCCUCCUGGACCAAUACUGACGAUCAGGUGCGAAAGCGUGGGGAGCAAACAGGAUUAGAUACCCUGGUAGUCCACGCCCUAAACGAUGACAACUGGAUGUCGGGAGGGUUUGCCUUCCGGUGUCGUAGCUAACGCGUUAAGAUGUCCGCCUGGGAAGUACGGCCGCAAGGUUGAA
rnacentral:rRNA from 1 species